AGAAGUCCCCGGCGCUCUCAUGAAUAGGUUCCCCACCAUUUUGCCCCUUGGAUCCGUCACCCCAUUACCGCCUCACGCCGCAAGAAGGGGUCCGCCGUUCGAAGUGAUGCCCAAAGCUAGAGAAGAUGCACUAUUCGCUUCGGGGCAAACAACCACUACUACUACCACUACUACUCCCCUUCCUGGCACACUCCUAACUCCUGAACAGUACCUCGGCUAUAACCUAACCGUGGGUCUGCCAGUUUACGAGGAAUACAGUGAUGUGACCACCAGCCUGCAAACAGAAUAUGACGCCACGCUUGUCACAGAAGGCGACAAGAAGGACGGAGCUUACAAGACAGGUGCUCAGCUGGCCCGCGGCAAAUUUAGACAUGAACCGUACCGUCGCUUGCCUGUCAAUGUACCGUCUUAAUUUGGUGUACCGUUCUUCUAAUUUGGUGUACCGCGCCCCCCACCACCACCACCACCACCACCACCUGUACCACCGCCAUCUGUACUGUACCACCUGUGACAUUUGUACCACGUGUCUUUUUCCGCCGCGUGUUCUGUUUGUCUCUUGUGUGUGUGUGUGUGUGUGUGAGAGAGAGAGAGAGAGAGAGAGUGAGAAAGUGAGAGAGUGAGUGAGAUUAUUGUGUUUUUCUUUCUUCUUUCU